rnacentral:rRNA from 1 species
GACGGAGGGGGCAAGCGUUACCCGGAUUUACUGGGCGUAAAGGGCGUGUAGGCGGCCUGGGGCGUCCCAUGUGAAAGGCCACGGCUCAACCGUGGAGGAGCGUGGGAUACGCUCAGGCUAGACGGUGGGAGAGGGUGGUGGAAUUCCCGGAGUAGCGGUGAAAUGCGCAGAUACCGGGAGGAACGCCGAUGGCGAAGGCAGCCACCUGGCUCACUUGUGACUCUGAGGCGCGAAAGCGUGGGGAGCAAACCGG